GUCCACGCCGUAAAACGAUGGAUGCUAGCCGUUGGCGAGCUUGCUCGUCAGUGGCGCAGCUAACGCUUUAAGCAUCCCGCCUGGGGAGUACGGUCGCAAAGAUUAAAAACUCAAAGGAAUUGACGGGGGCCCCGCACAAGCGGUGGAGCAUGUGGUUCAAUUCGAAGCAACGCGAAUAACCUUACCAGCUUUUGACAUGCCUCGUAUGGUCGUCAGAGAUUACUUCCUUCCCGCAAGGGGCAGUGCACAGGUGCUGCAUGGCUGUCGU
rnacentral:rRNA from 1 species